rfam:Triticum aestivum genome assembly, contig: Triticum_aestivum_CS42_TGACv1_scaffold_051314_1BS
UAUGUACUUCCUCCGUUCGAAAAUACUUGUCGUAGAAAUGACUAAAAAUGGAUAUAUCUAACACUAAAAUACGUUUAGAUACGUUCAUUCCUUCGACAAGUAUUUUUGAACGGAGGGAGUAUAAG